GCUCCAGUAAUCCAGCUGCUAAGAGGCUUAGUUGGUAGGCUGGCUUGCAGAUGGGAGUCCUGGUAGUCGAACUUCUAUAGCGAUCGGAGUGUCCACGCUAAGCCCAACAUCAAUAUGGUGCUGGUGAGGGAGCUCAUUAGGACCCGGUUUUCUAACAAGGGUCCAUUCGGCCCAGGGUGGAAACGCAGUAAACGAAAGAAUCGGUGUCGAGCAGUAGUGGGAACACACUUGUGAAUAAUCAUCGGUUGGCAACCUGUUCAAUACAACUAAACACCAAUCUCU
rnacentral:SRP_RNA from 1 species